rnacentral:rRNA from 1 species
CCUACGGGGGGCAGCAGUGGGGAAUAUUGGACAAUGGGGGGAACCCUGAUCCAGCCAUGCCGCGUGUGUGAAUAAGGCCCUCGGGUUGUAAAGCACUUUCAGUGAUGAAGAACGCCUGGUGGUUAAUACCCAUCAGGAAAGACAUCACUCACAGAAGAAGCACCGGCUAACUCCGUGCCAGCAGCCGCGGUAAUACGGAGGGUGCGAGCGUUAAUCGGAAUUACUGGGCGUAAAGCGCGCGUAGGUGGCUUGAUAAGCCGGUUGUGAAAGCCCCGGGCUCAACCUGGGAACGGCAUCCGGAACUGUCAAGCUAGAGUGCAGGAGAGGAAGGUAGAAUUCCCGGUGUAGCGGUGAAAUGCGUAGAGAUCGGGAGGAAUACCAGUGGCGAAGGCGGCCUUCUGGACUGACACUGACACUGAGGUGCGAAAGCGUGGGUAGCAAACAGGAUUAGAUACCCGAGUAGUC